GAUCGCCGAAGUGCGCAAGGUGUCCCGAAGGGCAUUCCGCCCCAAGGGAUGAAACGGGAAGCCGGUGCGAAGCCUCGAUCGAUCCAUCGAGGAUUCAAUGCCGGCGCUGCCCCCGCAACGGUAGGCGAGUUGCCAAGACCGCAUCCGAAAAGCAUCGCUCGAUGCCUUUCGAGCCACUUCGCAUCCUUCAACGUCAGCCAUCGGAUAUCGCCGAUGCAGCGAGGGAAGGCGCGGAUUCUUGGAACCGAUGAUCGUUAUCGGUUCGCUCGCAAGCCCGGAGACCGGCCCGGCGCCAACAUCGAUC
rnacentral:ncRNA from 1 species